UGCAGUUAAAAAGCUCGUAGUUGGAUUUCGGAGUGGGCCAGUUGGUCCGCCGCAAGGUGUGUUACUGACUGGUUUGCUCUUCUUCGCAAAGACUGCGUGUGCUCUUCAGUGAGUGUGCGUAGGAUUUACGACGUUUACUUUGAAAAAAUUAGAGUGUUCAAAGCAGGCUAUUGCUUGAAUACAUGAGCAUGGAAUAGUGGAAUAGGACUUUGGUCCCAUUUUGUUGGUUUCUAGGGCCGAAGUAAUGAUUAAGAGGGACGAUUGGGGGCAUCCGUAUUUCGUUGUCAGAGGUGAAAUUCUUGGAUUUACGAAAGACGAACAACUGCGAAAGCACUUGCCAAGAGUGUUUUCAUUAAUCAAGAACGAAAGUUAGAGGAUCGAAGACGAUCAGAUACCGUCCUAGUUCCAACCAUAAACGAUGUCGACUAGGGAUCAGCGGGCGUUAUCGUACGACCCCGUUGGCACCUUACGGGAAACCAAAGUUUCUGGAUUCCGGGGGAAGUAUGGUUGCAAAGCUGAAACUUAAAGGAAUUGACGGAAGGGCACCACCAGGAGUGGAGCCUGUGGCUCAAUUUGACUCAACACGGGAAAACUUACCAGGUCCAGACAUAGUAAGGAUUGACAGGUUGAGAGCCCUUUCU
rnacentral:rRNA from 1 species